CUGAAACCGUGUACGUACAAGCAGUGGGAGCCUCUUAAUGGGGUGACUGCGUACCUUUUGUAUAAUGGGUCAGCGACUUAUAUUCUGUAGCAAGGUUAACCGAAUAGGGGAGCCGAAGGGAAACCGAGUCUUAACUGGGCGUUAAGUUGCAGGGUAUAGACCCGAAACCCGGUGAUCUAGCCAUGGGCAGGUUGAAGGUUGGGUAACACUAACUGGAGGACCGAACCGACUAAUGUUGAAAAAUUAGCGGAUGACUUGUGGCUGGGGGUGAAAGGCCAAUCAAACCGGGAGAUAGCUGGUUCUCCCCGAAAGCUAUUUAGGUAGCGCCUCGUGAAUUCAUCUCCGGGGGUAGAGCACUGUUUCGGCAAGGGGGUCAUCCCGACUUACCAACCCGAUGCAAACUGCGAAUACCGGAGAAUGUUAUCACGGGAGACACACGGCGGGUGCUAACGUCCGUCGUGAAGAGGGAAACAACCCAGACCGCCAGCUAAGGUCCCAAAGUCAUGGUUAAGUGGGAAACGAUGUGGGAAGGCCCAGACAGCCAGGAUGUUGGCUUAGAAGCAGCCAUCAUUUAAAGAAAGCGUAAUAGCUCACUGGUCGAGUCGGCCUGCGCGGAAGAUGUAACGGGGCUAAACCAUGCACCGAAGCUGCGGCAGCGACACUAUGUGUUGUUGGGUAGGGGAGCGUUCUGUAAGCCUGUGAAGGUGGCCUGUGAGGGUUGCUGGAGGUAUCAGAAGUGCGAAUGCUGACAUAAGUAACGAUAAAGCGGGUGAAAAGCCCGCUCGCCGGAAGACCAAGGGUUCCUGUCCAACGUUAAUCGGGGCAGGGUGAGUCGACCCCUAAGGCGA
rnacentral:rRNA from 1 species